AUUGAACGCUGGCGGCAGGCCUAACACAUGCAAGUCGAGCGGUAGAGAGAAGCUUGCUUCUCUUGAGAGCGGCGGACGGGUGAGUAAUGCCUAGGAAUCUGCCUGGUAGUGGGGGAUAACGUUCGGAAACGGACGCUAAUACCGCAUACGUCCAACGGGAGAAAGCAGGGGACCUUCGGGCCUUGCGCUAUCAGAUGAGCCUAGGUCGGAUUAGCUAGUUGGUGGGGUAAUGGCUCACCAAGGCGACGAUCCGUAACUGGUCUGAGAGGAUGAUCAGUCACACUGGAACUGAGACACGGUCCAGACUCCUACGGGGGGCAGCAGUGGGGAAUAUUGGACAAUGGGCGAAAGCCUGAUCCAGCCAUGCCGCGUGUGUGAAGAAGGUCUUCGGAUUGUAAAGCACUUUAAGUUGGGAGGAAGGGCAGUAAAUUAAUACUUUGCUGUUUUGACGUUACCGACAGAAUAAGCACCGGCUAACUCUGUGCCAGCCGCCGCAGUAA
rnacentral:rRNA from 1 species